rnacentral:rRNA from 1 species
CGCAAGUGCGGCAGCUACACAUGCAAGUCGAGCGGUAGAGAGAAGCUUGCUUCUCUUGAGAGCGGCGGACGGGUGAGUAAUGCCUAGGAAUCUGCCUGGUAGUGGGGGAUAACGUUCGGAAACGAACGCUAAUACCGCAUACGUCCUACGGGAGAAAGCAGGGGACCUUCGGGCCUUGCGCUAUCAGAUGAGCCUAGGUCGGAUUAGCUAGUUGGUGAGGUAAUGGCCUCCACCCAAGGCGAUCGAACCGUAACUGGUCUGGAGAGGGAUGGAUCAGGUCACACUGGAACUGAGGAACACGGUCCAGACUCCUACCGGGAGGGCAGCAGUGGGGAAUAUGGGACAAUGGGCGGAAAGCCUGAUCCAGCCAUGCCGCGUUGUGUGAAGAAGGUCUUCCGGAUUGUAAAGCACUUUAAAGUUGGGAGGGAAGGGCAUUAACCUAAUACGUUAGUGGUUUUGACGUUACCGACAGAAUAAGCACCGGCUAACUCUGUGCCAGCAGCCCGCGGUAAUACAGAGGGUGCAAGCGUUAAUCGGAAUUACUGGGCGUAAAGCGCGCGUAGGUGGUUUGUUAAGUUGGAUGUGAAAUCCCCGGGCUCAACCUGGGAACUGCAUUCAAAACUGACUGACUAGAGUAUGGUAGAGGGUGGUGGAAUUUCCUGUGUAGCGGUGAAAUGCGUAGAUAUAGGAAGGAACACCAGUGGCGAAGGCGACCACCUGGACUAAUACUGACACUGAGGUGCGAAAGCGUGGGGGAGCAAACAGGAUUAGAUACCCUGGUAGUCCACGCCGUAAACGAUGUCAACUAGCCGUUGGAAGCCUUGAGCUUUUAGUGGCGCAGCUAACGCAUUAAGUUGACCGCCUGGGGAGUACGGCCGCAAGGUUAAAACUCAAAUGAAUUGACGGGGGCCCGCACAAGCGGUGGAGCAUGUGGUUUAAUUCGAAGCAACGCGAAGAACCUUACCAGGCCUUGACAUCCCAAUGAACUUUCUAGAGAUAGAUUGGGUGCCCUUCGGGAACAUUGAAGACAGGUGCUGCAUGGCUGUCGUCAGCUUCGUGUCGUGAGAUGUUGGGGUUAAGUCCCGGUAACCGAGCGCAACCCUUGUCCUUUAGUAACCAGCACCGUUAAUUGGGUGGGCCACUCCUAAGGAGACUGCCGGUGACCAAACCCGAGAGAAGGUGGGGAUGAACGUCAAAGCAUCAUGGCCCUUACGGCCUGGGCUACACACGUGCUACAAUGGUCGGUACAGAGGGUUGCCAAGCCGCGAGGUGGAGCUAAUCCCAUAAAACCGAUCGUAGUCCGGAUCGCAGUCUGCAACUCGACUGCGUGAAGUCGGAAUCGCUAGUAAUCGCGAAUCAGAAUGUCGCGGUGAAUACGUUCCCGGGCCUUGUACACACCGCCCGUCACACCAUGGGAGUGGGUUGCACCAGAAGUAGCUAGUCUAACCUUCGGGAGGACGGUACCACGGUGGAUUCAGAUG